AGAGAUUUGUAAUAAUUUGCUCUACUGCAUAUAAUUUUAUCAUGCACUCGUAACCUAUUUCUGUAUCUGGCACCUUUAUGCCUUAAUUAACAUUUGGGAUGUCACAUAUUAUAUCAAAGCAGUUACGCGGAUCAAAUCCCUUACAACUAAGGUCGUAGGUAGAAAGACCCUUAGGAUAUCUAGGGAAAUAGAGUAAUCUU
rnacentral:lncRNA from 1 species